AGUCGAGCGGGAUCCAUCCAGUAGCAAUACUGGGGAAGAUCUAGCGGCGAACGGGUGAGUAACACGUGAGAAACCUGCCCCGAACUUUGGGAUAACACGAGGAAACUCGUGCUAAUACCGAAUACCCUCAUAUGGUCGCAUGGCCGCAUGAGGAAAGAUUUAUCGGUUCGGGAGGGUCUCGCGGCCUAUCAGCUAGUUGGCGGGGUAACGGCCCACCAAGGCGUCGACGGGUAGCUGGUCUGAGAGGACGAUCAGCCACACUGGGACUGAGACACGGCCCAGACUCCUACGGGAGGCAGCAGUGGGGAAUCUUGCGCAAUGGGCGAAAGCCUGACGCAGCAACGCCGCGUGCGGGAUGAAGGCCUUCGGGUUGUAAACCGCUUUCAGCAGGGAAGAAAUUGACGGUACCUGCAGAAGAAGCCCCGGCCAACUACGUGCCAGCAGCCGCGGUAACACGUAGGGGGCGAGCGUUGUCCGGAUUUAUUGGGCGUAAAGAGCUCGUAGGCGGUUCGGUAAGUCGGGUGUGAAACCUCCAGGCUCAACCUGGAGACGCCACCUGAUACUGCUGUGACUAGAGUCCGGUAGGGGAGUGUGGAACUCCUGGUGUAGCGGUGAAAUGCGCAGAUAUCAGGAAGAACACCAGCGGCGAAGGCGGCACUCUGGGCCGGUACUGACGCUGAGGAGCGAAAGCGUGGGUAGCAAACAGGAUUAGAUACCCUGGUAGUCCACGCCGUAAACGUUGGGCACUAGGUGUGGGUCUCAACCAACGAGAUCCGUGCCGCAGCUAACGCAUUAAGUGCCCCGCCUGGGGAGUACGGCCGCAAGGCUAAA
rnacentral:rRNA from 1 species